UUUCUACUCCCUCCGUCCGAAAAUACUUGUCAUCAAAAUGGAUAAAAAUAGAUGUAUCUAAAACUAAAAUACGUCUAGAUACAUUUCCUUUUAUCCAUUUUGAUGACAAGUAUUUCCGGACAGAGGGAGUAUUUA
rnacentral:pre_miRNA from 1 species